ensembl:lncRNA novel transcript
GCCCAGGCAGUGAAUUUGCCUCACUCCCCAAGUUUCCACAAGGCCACAGGGAAUAGACUUGGUAGCCAACCACAGCCCCGAAGAUGGGAGAAAGCAAAGAAGGAAGAAUGAAGCAUGGGAGAGAAUGAAAGAGGAGAGGGGGAACUGAAGCUCUCAUCUUCCUCUUCUCUGAUGGAACACAAAGGACUCCAGCAAGCUAUACAGGAAGCAUGGAAGCAUAGCAGCUGCUUCUUCUGGGAAGGCCUCAGGAAGCUUUCAAUCACGACAGAAGGCAAAGGUGGAGCCAACACUUCACAUGUCCAGAGCAGGAGGAAGACAGAGAGCCGGGAGGUGCCAUUUUAAACAACCAGAUCUCAGAAGAACUUACUGUCACCACAAAAUCACCAAGGGGGAUGGUGUUAAACCAUGAGAAAACCACCUACACGGCCCAAUCACCUCCAACCAGCACUGGGGAUGACAAUUUAACAGGAGAUUUGGGCAGGGACACAGACCCAAACCAUAUCAGUGUAUGUACAUUUUCGUUUAUUUACUUAAAAAAAAACCUAUUAGAAUCAUUCACUGUCACUGUACCUGGGAGAAAUACCAAAACAACUUUACUAAAACUUACUAAGAUACUAUUAUUGUGCCCAUUAAUUGUUUUCCAGGGAGAUGCACAUUUUUUAGCACAAAAUGCCCAGAUAGAAUUGGUAAAACUGAAAAUAUUAAUUUUAAUACGUCUUUAACAAUGUAAUGUUUUACCAAAAACUUCUCUUAUCUCAUCCUAU